rnacentral:rRNA from 1 species
CCUACGGGAGGCAGCAGUAAGGAAUCUUCCACAAUGGACGAAAGUCUGAUGGAGCAACGCCGCGUGCAGGAUGAAGGCUUUCGGGUCGUAAACUGCUUUUAUAUGGGAAGAUUAUGACGGUACCAUAUGAAUAAGGACCGGCUAACUACGUGCCAGCAGCCGCGGUAAUACGUAGGGUCCAAGCGAUAUCCGGAAUUACUGGGCGUAAAGCGUGUGUAGGUGGAUUAAUAAGUGUGAUGCGAAAUCCGGCGGCUCAACCGUUUGGACUGUGUCGCAUACUGUUAGUCUAGAGGACGGCAGAGGUAAGUGGAAUUACGGGUGUAGCAGUGAAAUGCGUAGAUAUCCGUAGGAACACCAAUGGCGAAGGCAGCUUACUGGGCCACACCUGACACUGAGACACGAAAGCGUGGGGAGCGAACAGGAUUAGAUACCCUGGUAGUCCACGCCGUAAACGAUGCAUACUAUUAGUAUGGGGUAUCGACCCCCUGUGCUGAGAAGCUAACGCGAUAAGUAUGCCGCCGNGGGAGGUACGAGCGCGAGAACGUUAAACGUAACUUAAAUUAGUAAGUUAGUUAGGCGUUGAGACGNGCCGACGGACGACGACGAGGGAGGAGG